rnacentral:rRNA from 1 species
ACAAGAAAUAAUCUGUCUUAAAUUAAUAUGUUGAAUUUAACUUUUAAGUGAAAAGGCUUAAAUAGUCUGAAGGGACGAUAAGACCCUAUAAAACUUUAUAUUAAAAAGUGGUGUAGUAUGUUUUGUUUAGAGGUUACUACUUUAAAGUAUUUGGUUGGGGUGACAAAAAUAAAAGAUAAAGUAACUGUUUUUUUUUCUUACAAUAAUGUUUGGGUUGAUGAUCCUAAAAUGGAUUAAAGAUUAAGUUACUUUAGGGAUAACAGCGUAAUUUUCUUUGAGAGUUCUUAUUGAUAAGAAAGUUUGCGACCUCGAUGUUGAAUUAAAGGUUCUUUAUGGAGUAGAGACUAUAAAAGAAGGUCUGUUCGACCUUUAAAA